rnacentral:hammerhead_ribozyme from 2 species
AUUCAGCUGACGAGACCCAAAUAGGACGGAACGCGUGUCAAACUGAAU